rnacentral:lncRNA from 1 species
GCCAUUUUUUGUUACUUUAAUGCCAUUUUUUGUCACUUUUGGUCACUUUAAUGCCAUUUUUUGUCACUUUAAUGCCAUUUUUUUGACACUUUUGGUCACUUUAAUGCCAUUUUUGCUCACUUUAGGACACUUCAAUGUAACUUUUUCUCCAUUUUUGUAACUUUGCCUCCCUGUACCCCAAUUUUGGGCGGAUUUCAGACACUUUUGGGUCAUUUCUCUCAGUUUUGGGUGGUUUCAGGUGCAUUUCUCAGUUCUGGGCGGAUUUCUCUCAGUUUUGGGCCAUUUUGGGUAAUUUUCAUUUAAUUUUGGAUCCAUUUCACUCCAUUUUAGGUCACUUUCACUCCAUUUUGGGUGGAUUUCACUCAGUUUUGGGCCAGCUUCGCUCAAUUUUGAGUAAUUUCAGGUGGGUUUCACUCCAUUUUGGGUGGGUUUAUCUCAAUUUUGGUUCAUUUUCUGUCACUUUCACUCCAUUUUGGGUGGGUUUCUCUCAAUUUUGGGUGGAUUUCUCUCAAUUUCAGUUCAUUUUCUUUUACUUUUACUCCAUGUUGGGUGGGUUUCUCUCA